rnacentral:rRNA from 1 species
ACAUGUGGGUAUCUACCCUUUGGCCUGGAAUAACACGAGGAAACUUGUGCUAAUACCGGAUAAGUCUUUACGGAGAAAGCUUUAUGCACCAUUGGAUGAGCCCGCACUUGAUUAGUUUGUUGGUAGGGUAAUGGCCUACCAAGACUAUGAUCAAUAGCUGAUUUGAGAGGAUGAUCAGCCACAUUGGGACUGAGACACGGCCCAAACUCCUACGGGAGGCAGCAGUGGGGAAUCUUGCACAAUGGAGGAAACUCUGAUGCAGCGAUGCCGCGUGAGUGAAGAAGGCCCUUGGGUUGUAAAGCUCUUUCGUCGGGGAAGAAAAUGACUGUACCCGAAUAAGAAGGUCCGGCUAACUUCGUGCCAGCAGCCGCGGUAAUACGAAGGGACCUAGCGUAGUUCGGAAUUACUGGGCUUAAAGAGUUCGUAGGUGGUUGAAAAAGUUAGUGGUGAAAUCCCAGAGCUUAACUCUGGAACUGCCAUUAAAACUUUUCAGCUAGAGUAUGAUAGAGGAAAGCAGAAUUUCUAGUGUAGAGGUGAAAUUCGUAGAUAUUAGAAAGAAUACCAAUUGCGAAGGCAGCUUUCUGGAUCAUUACUGACACUGAGGAACGAAAGCAUGGGUAGCGAAGAGGAUUAGAUACCCUCGUAGUCCAUGCCGUAAACGAUGUGUGUUAGACGUUGGAAAUUUAUUUUCAGUGUCGCAGGGAAACCGAUAAACACACCGCCUGGGGAGUACGACCGCAAGGUUAAAACUCAAAUGAAUUGACGGGGACCCGCACAAGUAGUGGAGCAUGUGGUUUAAUUCGAAGAUACGCGCAGAACCUUACCAACACUUGACAUGUUCGUCGCGACUCUAAGAGAUUAGAGUUUUCGGUUCGGCCGGACGAAACACAGGUGCUGCAUGGCUGUCGUCAGCUCGUGUCGUGAGAUGUUGGGU